UACGUAGGGGUCGAGCGUUGUCCGGAGUUACUGGGCGUAAAGCGUGCGCAGGCGGCUCAUUGCGCCCGGCGUGAAAGCCCCCGGCUCAACUGGGGAGGGUCAUUCGAUACUGUUCGACUCGAAGGCAGGAGAGGGAAGUGGAAUUCCGGGUGUAGUGGUGAAAUGCGUAGAUAUCCGGAGGAACACCAGUGGCGAAGGCGACUUUCUGGCCUGUUCUUGACGCUGAGGCGCGAAAGCUAGGGGAGCAAACGGG
rnacentral:rRNA from 1 species